AGCAGCCGCGGUAAUUCCAGCUCCAAUAGCGUAUAUUAAAGUUGUUGCAGUUAAAAAGCUCGUAGUUGAAUUUUAGGCCUGGCCGGGCGGUCCGUCUUUGGCGAGUACUGUUCUGUGUCGGGUCUUACCUUCUGGUAAACCGGCAUGUUCCUUUAUCGUGUAUGCCGGGGAACCAGGACCAUUACCUUGAAAAAAUUAGAGUGUUUAAAGCGGGCUUUUGCUUGAAUAGAUUAGCAUGGAAUAAUAAAAUAGGACGUCGGUUCUAUUUUGUUGGUCUAGGACCACCGUAAUGAUUAAUAGGGAUAGUUGGGGGCAUUAGUAUUCAAUUGUCAGAGGUGAAAUUCUUGGAUUUAUUGAAGACUAACUAUUGCGAAAGCAUUUGCCAAGGAUGUUUUCAUUAAUCAAGAACGAAAGUUAGGGGAUCGAAGACGAUCAGAUACCGUCGUAGUCUUAACCAUAAACUAUGCCGACUAGGAAUCGGGCGACGUUAUUUUCACGACUCG
rnacentral:rRNA from 1 species